AUGGCUAGUGGAGCAGCUGAUAGUAAGAGUUAGUAUUCGAUCGAGUCGAGUCAAAUCGAGUCAAAAAAAUUUGAGUUAGUCGAGUUGACGAAUCCUAUUUUAGCAACCGAACUCGAUUUGAAUUUUUUUUCAAAUCAAAUUGAAUCGAGUCAAAAAAUUUCGAGUCAAGUCGAGUCGAGUUAACGAAUCAUAUUAUUUAUACUUAAUGUUGCGUUUACAUGGACUUAUUAUUUAAUUAGUAGACGAAGUACAAGAUUAUUUAACUACAUAAACA
rnacentral:lncRNA from 1 species